UACAGAGGUCUCAAGCGUUGUUCGGAUUCAUUGGGCGUAAAGGGUGUGUAGGUGGCGCGCUAAGUCGGGUGUGAAAUUUCGGAGCUUAACUCCGAAACUGCAUUCGAUACUGGCGUGCUUGAGGACUGGAGAGGAGACUGGAAUUCAUGGUGUAGCAGUGAAAUGCGUAGAUAUCGGGAGGAACACCAGUGGCGAAGGCGACUUCCUGGCCUGUUCUUGACGCUGAGGCGCGAAAGCUAGGGGAGCAAACGGG
rnacentral:rRNA from 1 species